ACUUGGAGUCGACGGAGAACUGUAAAUGCACGAGUACAUUCAAAAAUGUGUAAACAAAAGGUUCACUUUCUGAAAACGCUUUCUAAAAUGUGACAGAGAUAACCGACACAAGAUCAUUAAAACAAUAUGAGUAUUGUUUUCGAAUGGUGAAAGAAGCAUUAGCUAGUUGAAGAGUGCAAAUUUUGGUUAAGAAGAAAUUCAUUGGUAGAAUGUAGGCUUGAACCGUUAGUCGUCAACAAAAGUGGAAUUUUAAAGAUUGCAUCUGAAAUCCUUAAAUUUUAAGAAAAUCCAUCCUUAAGU